rnacentral:rRNA from 1 species
GACGAACGCUGGCGGCAUGCCUAACACAUGCAAGUCGAACGGAGAUUAUUUCGGUAAUCUUAGUGGCGAACGGGUGAGUAACGCGUAGGCAACCUGCCCUUUAGUUGGGGACAACAUCCCGAAAGGGGUGCUAAUACCGAAUGUGAUCGCUUUCUCGCAUGAGAGAGCGAUGAAAGAUGGCCUCUAUUUAUAAGCUAUCGCUAAAGGAUGGGCCUGCGUCUGAUUAGCUAGUUGGUGGGGUAACGGCUCACCAAGGCGAUGAUCAGUAGCCGGUCUGAGAGGAUGAACGGCCACAUUGGGACUGAGACACGGCCCAG